UACGGGGGGAGCAAGCGUUGUUCGGAUUUACUGGGCGUAAAGGGCGCGUAGGCGGCGCGACAAGUCACUUGUGAAAUCUCCGGGCUUAACCCGGAGCGGCCAAGUGAUACUGUAGUGCUAGAGUGCGGAAGGGGCUACUGGAAUUCUCGGUGUAGCGGUAAAAUGCGUAGAUAUCGAGAGGAACACCUGCGGCGAAGGCGGGUAGCUGGGCCGACACUGACGCUGAGGCGCGAAAGCCAGGGGAGCGAACGGG
rnacentral:rRNA from 1 species